rnacentral:tRNA from 1 species
ACUUUAUUAGUAUAAAAAAAUUACACUUGACUUCCAAUCAAGAAAAUCCUCAAUGGAAUAAAGUA